rnacentral:misc_RNA from 1 species
UGGUUCUGGCAUCGAUGAAGAACGCAGCGAAAUGCGAUAAGUAAUGUGAAUUGCAGAAUUUUGUGAAUCAUCGAAUCUUUGAACGCACAUUGCGCUCCUUGGUAUUCCGAGGAGCACAUCUGUUCGAGCGUCAUUACACCAAUCAAGCCUCGCUUGGUAUUGGAAGACGUGGUCUCUUCGUGAGACUGCCCUUCUUGAAAUCUUUUCGGCUGGUUAACAAAUCUUACCUACAGCGUUGUGGAAACAUUCUCGCUUUACUGGUUUGACUUGAGAGCACGCCGUAAAACAAAUCAAUUAUCAAAGGUUGACCUCGGAUCAGAUGAGAAUACCCGCUGA